rnacentral:rRNA from 1 species
GGUUAAGCGACUAAGCGUACACGGUGGAUGCCCUGGCAGUCAGAGGCGAUGAAGGGCGUGCUAAUCUGCGAUAAGCGCCGGUAAGGUGAUAUGAACCGUUAUAACCGGCGAUACCCGAAUGGGGAAACCCAGUGUGAUUCGUCACACUAUCAUUAACUGAAUCCAUAGGUUAAUGAGGCGAACCGGGGGAACUGAAACAUCUAAGUACCCCGAGGAAAAGAAAUCAACCGAGAUUCCCCCAGUAGCGGCGAGCGAACGGGGAGGAGCCCAGAGCCUGAAUCAGCAUGUGUGUUAGUGGAAGCGUCUGGAAAGGCGCGCGAUACAGGGUGACAGCCCCGUACACAAAAGCGCAUGUGCUGUGAGCUCGAUGAGUAGGGCGGGACACGUGGUAUCCUGUCUGAAUAUGGGGGGACCAUCCUCCAAGGCUAAAUACUCCUGACUGACCGAUAGUGAACCAGUACCGUGAGGGAAAGGCGAAAAGAACCCCGGCGAGGGGAGUGAAAAAGAACCUGAAACCGUGUACGUACAAGCAGUGGGAGCCCCACCACUAAGCCAGUGGUGAACUCCACAUCCGCAUCCUUUGCUGAGGAUACGGUUAACGGAGCGAAAGCGACGUUCAACCGCAAAACAAGCAGAGGGGGCUUAGUGGUGGGGUGACUGCGUACCUUUUGUAUAAUGGGUCAGCGACUUAUAUUCUGUAGCAAGGUUAACCGAAUAGGGGAGCCGGAGGGAAACCGAGUCUUAAUUGGGCGUUAAGUUGCAGGGUAUAGACCCGAAACCCGGUGAUCUAGCCAUGGGCAGGUUGAAGGUUGGGUAACACUAACUGGAGGACCGAACCGACUAAUGUUGAAAAAUUAGCGGAUGACCUGUGGCUGGGGGUGAAAGGCCAAUCAAACCGGGAGAUAGCUGGUUCUCCCCGAAAGCUAUUUAGGUAGCGCCUCGUGAAUUCAUCUCCGGGGGUAGAGCACUGUUUCGGCUAGGGGGCCAUCCCGGCUUACCAACCCGAUGCAAACUGCGAAUACCGGAGAAUGUUAUCACGGGAGACACACGGCGGGUGCUAACGUCCGUCGUGAAGAGGGAAACAACCCAGACCGCCAGCUAAGGUCCCAAAGUCAUGGUUAAGUGGGAAACGAUGUGGGAAGGCCCAGACAGCCAGGAUGUUGGCUUAGAAGCAGCCAUCAUUUAAAGAAAGCGUAAUAGCUCACUGGUCGAGUCGGCCUGCGCGGAAGAUGUAACGGGGCUAAACCAUGCACCGAAGCUGCGGCAGCGACGCUGAUGCGUUGUUGGGUAGGGGAGCGUUCUGUAAGCCUGCGAAGGUGACCUGUGAGGGUUGCUGGAGGUAUCAGAAGUGCGAAUGCUGACAUAAGUAACGAUAAAGCGGGUGAAAAGCCCGCUCGCCGGAAGACCAAGGGUUCCUGUCCAACGUUAAUCGGGGCAGGGUGAGUCGACCCCUAAGGCGAGGCCGAAAGGCGUAGUCGAUGGGAAACGGGUUAAUAUUCCCGUACUUGGUGUUACUGCGAAGGGGGGACGGAGAAGGCUAUGUUGGCCGGGCGACGGUUGUCCCGGUUUAAGCGUGUAGGUGUGUGUUCCAGGUAAAUCCGGUUCACUUUAACACUGAGGCGUGACGACGAGGCACUACGGUGCUGAAGCAACAAAUGCCCUGCUUCCAGGAAAAGCCUCUAAGCAUCAGGUAACACGAAAUCGUACCCCAAACCGACACAGGUGGUCAGGUAGAGAAUACCAAGGCGCUUGAGAGAACUCGGGUGAAGGAACUAGGCAAAAUGGUGCCGUAACUUCGGGAGAAGGCACGCUGACACGUAGGUGAAGUGAUUUACUCAUGGAGCUGAAGUCAGUCGAAGAUACCAGCUGGCUGCAACUGUUUAUUAAAAACACAGCACUGUGCAAACACGAAAGUGGACGUAUACGGUGUGACGCCUGCCCGGUGCCGGAAGGUUAAUUGAUGGGGUCAGCGUAAGCGAAGCUCCUGAUCGAAGCCCCGGUAAACGGCGGCCGUAACUAUAACGGUCCUAAGGUAGCGAAAUUCCUUGUCGGGUAAGUUCCGACCUGCACGAAUGGCGUAAUGAUGGCCAGGCUGUCUCCACCCGAGACUCAGUGAAAUUGAACUCGCUGUGAAGAUGCAGUGUACCCGCGGCAAGACGGAAAGACCCCGUGAACCUUUACUAUAGCUUGACACUGAACAUUGAGCCUUGAUGUGUAGGAUAGGUGGGAGGCUUUGAAGUGUGGACGCCAGUCUGCAUGGAGCCGACCUUGAAAUACCACCCUUUAAUGUUUGAUGUUCUAACGUGGACCCGUAAUCCGGGUUGCGGACAGUGUCUGGUGGGUAGUUUGACUGGGGCGGUCUCCUCCUAAAGAGUAACGGAGGAGCACGAAGGUUGGCUAAUCCUGGUCGGACAUCAGGAGGUUAGUGCAAUGGCAUAAGCCAGCUUGACUGCGAGCGUGACGGCGCGAGCAGGUGCGAAAGCAGGUCAUAGUGAUCCGGUGGUUCUGAAUGGAAGGGCCAUCGCUCAACGGAUAAAAGGUACUCCGGGGAUAACAGGCUGAUACCGCCCAAGAGUUCAUAUCGACGGCGGUGUUUGGCACCUCGAUGUCGGCUCAUCACAUCCUGGGGCUGAAGUAGGUCCCAAGGGUAUGGCUGUUCGCCAUUUAAAGUGGUACGCGAGCUGGGUUUAGAACGUCGUGAGACAGUUCGGUCCCUAUCUGCCGUGGGCGCUGGAGAACUGAGGGGGGCUGCUCCUAGUACGAGAGGACCGGAGUGGACGCAUCACUGGUGUUCGGGUUGUCAUGCCAAUGGCACUGCCCGGUAGCUAAAUGCGGAAGAGAUAAGUGCUGAAAGCAUCUAAGCACGAAACUUGCCCCGAGAUGAGUUCUCCCUGAGACUUAGAGUCUCCUGAAGGAACGUUGAAGACGACGACGUUGAUAGGCCGGGUGUGUAAGCGCAGCGAUGCGUUGAGCUAACCGGUACUAAUGAACCGUGAGGCUUAACCUU